CUGCCGCUACUUCCUGAAAGGCAACAGAGAGCACCUGCUGAGGAUCUUGCCCCUUCAGGACCAACACAUGGACACAGUGGCAUUCAGACAGCAUGGGCUCCAGAAUCAGGUCUGUUAUUAUCGAUUAUCAAGAGAAAACUUCUAUUCUUGCUGUCUUGUUUGUCACUUCCUCUCAGAUCUACAAAAUCUUGAGCGAGCCUUCAUCGUAUUCUUUGGGGCAUCAUGUCCUAUAGCCAGAGUUGAAGUCAUUCUAUCUUCCUACAAGAUAGAGGACAGUGGCUAUACAUACUGUACAUGCUGGUCAAUGUCAAGCAAUGCCAUCUAAGCCAAACAACUGCCUGAAAUGGAUGGUGCCUGCGAGCCACCCCUGUAAACCAACAGCCCGUCCUCGCAGGCAUCGCCCCGGCUAACAUCAGAAGCAGCCACAUUGGCCCUCUCCCAAAAGGCACAGACCAGUGAAUCCCACCUCCAUAAGAUCGUCACAGAGACACCACGACGCGUGCGCGUAAAGUCAUGACGCCCCUCUGCCAUCCAAGCCCAUGAGCUGCUCAGCACAACAUCAGCUGACACUUCCAAGGCCACCUGGGUCAAGACCAAAUGGAUAGAACAGUGGAAGUCAGCAGAACCAUCUAGGCUGCACCACUACAUCAAUGACCCCACAGACGUCUCUAGCCAGGACUUGCCCUGAAAACAGUGGACAACCCUCAACCGCCUGAGGACCGGCAUUGGACGCUGUGGAGCUGCAAUGAAGAGGUGGGGACUCGCAGAUAGUGCCUCCUGCGAGUGUGGGGACCCAGUCCAGACAGUAGACCAUAUC